AAAAUUUAGUUGACGCGCAAUGAAAACGUUACGCACUUGAUGUGGAAGCGCAGCGAAAAUUUGUUUGUGGGAAUUAAACUAAAAGGAAAUAAAUUGGCCUUCAUCGUGAUAGCGCUGCAGUAUUUGGUGAAGACUUCCGAAUGGAGAAUGCGAAGCUAAUGUCACCAGGGAUAUGCUGGUUGCUCAAGUGAUAUCUCUUGCAUCAUCAAAUGUCCGGCUGCUAUCGAAGCGGAAUCAGCUUCUCCCGAGCGGGAUCUGCGUCAGAGCUUCUUCUAAAAUGAACUGCACUCGUGAGCGACGGUUCGAGGCCUUUUCGGACACUCGGGUGGUGUUAAGGAUCAGGUAGUUUUGCAGAAGCAGCUCGGAAGUCAUCUCGAAAGGCUGCGAUUAGAUCCUGCUUACUGGACUCGCCCGAUUCGAUAUGCUACUUUCUCACUAGGGCGAGGCACCUCAGAGGAAGACAAGGAACAUGGCAAGGCGUUCGCAGGAUUCGCAGUAAUACGCAUAUGUAUACUAUUGAAUAUAAUGUUUGUGUAUCGGUCACCCGCUGUAGUGCUCUAAAGAAAACAAAUGACAAAUAAUGAA